GUACACGCUGUGACUAGCAUAUCAAUAAGCGGAGGAAAAGAAACUAACAAGGAUUCCCCUAGUAACGGCGAGUGAAGCGGGAAGAGCUCAAAUUUGAAAUCUUAAAGGGUUUCCCUUUACGAAUUGUAGUUUAAAGAAGUGUUUUCUGUUGAGGCUUUGGUAAAAGUUCUUUGGAAUAGGACAUCAUAGAGGGUGAGAAUCCCGUAUUUGACCUUUACUUUCAACUUUGUGAUACACUUUCAAAGAGUCGGAUUGUUUGGGAAUGCAGUCCAAAAUGGGUGGUAAAUUUCAUCUAAAGCUAAAUAUUGGCGAGAGACCGAUAGCGAACAAGUACCGUGAGGGAAAGAUGAAAAGAACUUUGAAAAGAGAGUUAAACAGUACGUGAAAUUGUCAAAAGGGAAGCGUUUGACACCAGUGUUGUUUUUCUGAAAAUCAAUUAAAGAACUGUUUAUGCUAAGCUGUUUAGACUUUAUCAGCUAUCUGUUUAGUUUUGAGCUUUUCUUUAAUGCACUUUUCAGUUAACAAGUCAACAUCAAUUUCUUUUGCUGUAAAAAAGCUUGAGGAAGGUGGCUUGAGAUUCGUCUUAAGUGUUUAUAGCCUCUUGCCUAUGCAGUCGGAGAGAUUGAGGUCUGCAGCGUAGAUCCUUCGGGGCUAAAUGCAUUUGUGCUAAGUUAUAGCAUUUUAUAGACAACUUGUUGACUAUGAUUUGUCUUGUAGCUUACUCGCUUAUGUUAUUUUACCUACGCUUAGGAUGUUGAAGAUGUAGCACAUCAU
rnacentral:rRNA from 1 species